GAUGUGGCUUUGAAGAAUUUUGCCAAAUACUUUCUUCACCAAUCUCAUGAGGAGAGGGAACAUGCUGAGAAACUGAUGAAGCUGCAGAACCAACAAGGUGGCCGAAUCUUCCCUCAGGACAUUCAGAAACCAGAUCAUGAUGGUUGGGAGAGUCGGCUGUAUGCAAUGGAGUGUGCAUUACACUUGGGGAAAAGUGUGAAUCAGUCACUACUGGAACUGCACAAACUGGCCACUGACAAAAAUGGCCCCCACUUGUGUAACUUCCUUGAGACCCAUUACCUGAAUGAGCAGGUGAAAUCCAUCAAAGAAUUGGGUGACCAUGUAACCAACCUACGCAAGAUGGGAGGCCCUGAAUCUGGCAUGAGGAAGUAUCUCCUUGACAAGCACACCCUGGGAGACAGUGAUAAGAGCUAAGCCUUAGGCUAACUUCCCCAUAGCCACGGGGUGACUUCCAUGGUCACCCAGGCAGUACAUGCAUGUCGGGGUUUCCUUUACCUUUUCUGUAAGUUGUUCCAAACAUCCACUUAAGUUCUUUCAUUUGUACCAUUCCUUCAAAUAAAGAAAUUGGGUACCC